rnacentral:rRNA from 1 species
AGCCCUUCGGGGUGAGUACAGCGGCGGACGGGUGAGUAACGCGUAGGAAUCUACCUAGUAGUGGGGGACAACUCGUGGAAACGCGAGCUAAUACCGCAUACGCCCUACAGGGGAAAGCGGGGGAUCUUCGGACCUCGUGCUAUUAGAUGAGCCUGCGUAAGAUUAGCUAGUUGGUGGGGUAAUGGCCUACCAAGGCGACGAUCUUUAGCUGGUCUGAGAGGAUGAUCAGCCACACCGGGACUGAGACACGGCCCGGACUCCUACGGGAGGCAGCAGUCGGGAAUAUUGCGCAAUGGGCGAAAGCCUGACGCAGCCAUGCCGCGUGUGUGAAGAAGGCCCUAGGGUUGUAAAGCACUUUCAAUUGGGAGGAAAAGCUAAUGGUUAAUAGCCAUUAGCCCUGACGUUACCUUUAGAAGAAGCACCGGCUAACUCCGUGCCAGCAGCCGCGGUAAUACGGAGGGUGCAAGCGUUAAUCGGAAUUACUGGGCGUAAAGCGCGCGUAGGCGGUUUUUUAAGUCGGAUGUGAAAGCCCCGGGCUCAACCUGGGAAUUGCAUCCGAUACUGGAUGACUAGAAUGCGGGAGAGGGAGGUAGAAUUCCAUGUGUAGCAGUGAAAUGCGUAGAUAUAUGGAGGAAUACCAGUGGCGAAGGCGGCCUCCUGGCUCGACAUUGACGCUGAGGUGCGAAAGCGUGGGGAGCAAACGGGAUUAGAUACCCCGGUAGUCCACGCCGUAAACGAUGUCUACUAGCUGUAGGGGUACUUGAGACCUUUGUAGCGCAGCUAACGCAAUAAGUAGACCGCCUGGGGAGUACGGCCGCAAGGUUAAAACUCAAAUGAAUUGACGGGGGCCCGCACAAGCAGUGGAGCAUGUGGUUUAAUUCGAUGCAACGCGAAGAACCUUACCAGGCCUUGACAUCCCCGGAACUUUCUAGAGAUAGAUUGGUGCCUUCGGGAACCGGGUGACAGGUGCUGCAUGGCUGUCGUCAGCUCGUGU